rnacentral:rRNA from 1 species
AACGUAGGACGCAAGCGUUAUCCGGAGUUACUGGGCGUAAAGCGCGGGCAGGCGGUCUUGCCAGUCUGAUGUGAAAUCUCCUCGCUCAACGGGGAGCAGCCAUUGGAAACUACAAGACUGGAGUCUGACAGAGGUAGGCGGAAUUCCGGGUGGAGUGGUGAAAUGCGUAGAGAUCCGGAGGAACACCAGUGGCGAAGGCGACACGCUGGGCCGUACCUGACACUGAUACGCGACAGCAUGGGGAGCGAACGGG